ACCAAGUAAACAACAUUUUGACUCAAAAUCAAUGGGAGGCCUAUUUUUUCCUACUUAUUCCAGUCCACAGGAUAUGACGUCGCCCCUGUCUCGCCUCCAGCUCUUGUCCAUCACAGCUUUAUUUUACUGUGGCCCUUUAAACGCCGUUAAAACCCAUUAUUAGUCCGUUUCCCAGACUUUCAUCAUUUAAAAAAAAACAUGGCCCCGCUGCCGGCCUGUUUGCAGCCUCACAACAACCUCCACCGUCUGCGAAUCGGAUACUGCGACGGACUUUGAGUGACUGCGGGCCUGCACCUAGUUAACGUUACGCAGCUGUCUGAAACCAAAGCUAAUCGGCUAUCUUACGUUAGCUGUAGCGGCUCGCCUUGCCAUAUGAUAUUGACGCACAUUACACAGGGACAGACCUCUACGGACAGCGAUUGGACCAGGAAAAUAACCCCGCACCGCUGAAAUGGACAAAGACGAAGCAGACCGGCUGAUAGAGAAGGCGAAGCUGUGCUUACGGUCAGGACGGAAAGAUCGGGCGCUGCAGCUGCUGUAUGAAGCUCAAAAUAUUUACCCCAGCACCAGGGCCAGAGUGCUGAUAGAUGCCAUUGUAAGGAAUGGAGGCACCGCUGCUCCAGAGGCAAACCACGUGCCCCCGCCAACGGGCUGGAGAGACGAGGACAUUGGAAGAAAUGAAAAAAGUAACGCAAGUGGUGAUGAAAAGAAGAGCUACACGGAGGAGCAACGCCAGGGUGUUCUCAGGAUAAAGAAUUGCAAGGACUUUUAUGAAAUCCUCGGUGUUCCCAAAAACGCCAGCGAUGAAGAUUUGAAGAAGAUGUAUAGGAAGUUGGCCCUCAAGUUUCACCCCGACAAGAACUUUGCUCCAGGAGCCACGGAUGCUUUUAAAGCAAUAGGCAAUGCGUACGCAGUGCUGAGCAAUCCAGAGAAGAGGCAGCAGUAUGAUCAAUACGGAGAUCAAGCCGCAGCUUCGAAUGCACCCCAACACUCCAGCAACAGUCGCCAUGGAUACUACCGAAGCUUCCACAGAGACUUUGAGGCUGACAUUUCCCCCGAGGAGCUCUUCAACAUCUUCUUUGGAGGAAGGUUUCCCACAGGAAAUAUCCACGUGUACACCAACCAGGGAGCCUCCUACUCUCAGUUCUAUCAGCCUCGUCGUCGACGUGCUUAUGAGAGGCGCGAGGAGGUGGUGGAGGACAAUCAGAGUCAGAACACCUUCACAGCGUUCCUGCAGCUUCUCCCCGUGCUGGUGCUAAUCCUCAUAUCAGUGUUUACUCAGAUGAUGGCCACUAACCCGCCCUACAGUCUCUUCUAUAAGCCGGCCAUGGGGCUGGUGGUGUCCAGGGAAACGCAUCACAUGGGUGUACCAUACUAUGUGGAUAAAGGUUUUGGGAAGGAAUACAGUGGUGCGGCGCUGGACGAACUAGAGAAAACCAUUGAGAGCGACUAUAUCGAACACCUGCAGAGUAGCUGCUGGAAAGAGAAACAGCAAAAUUUUUCUUUCCUGUGACAUAAGCACGCCCUGAAAUUCACAUUGCAUCCAGUUGGUCAGCGUUAAAGGAAUAGUGCAUCAUUUUGGGAAAUUAGCUUAUUGAAUUUCUGGCGGAGAUGAAUCAGACUUGGCAAACCUGGGGCAACUGUACCGAGAUGAGCGCUUAAAGCAGAAGGCAGAGUCAAUGAGGCUGGACAACUGCGAGAAACUGCAUCGACUGGUUGGGCGUCAAAGAGGCAAAUGAGGACUGUUUUGAGAGGAGAACACAUUUCUUUACAGACUUAGAGCACAUUUUAUUGAAGUGUGUAAUUUAUCCAAUCUGGCCACCUUGUAAAGAAAUCUCUUUUAGGUACAGUGCAAUCAGUGGGAGAUUAUGCCGCUGGAAACAAUGUGCCUUCUCUCCUCUUUGAUAGUAAAAAACAAAAAAAACAAAAAAAAAACAUAAGAGUUGCAUGUUAGCUGGCAACCCUGUCUGUUGUGGUGGCAGCAUCAAAUGCAAACUCACUGUGGCAGUGUGUAUGAUGUCUCAGAGCCGUUAAACUUUCUUAUAGAAAUGGCAUGACACACGGGGUCUCCCUUUGGGGUGAUGAAGGCAGUUGUAUGUUCACACAUAAUGUGUUUUAUUUGUUUUAGGUUUUGUAGUUUACCUGUAUUUAUUUUCUUGAAUGUUUUUGUGUCCCUUGAAAUUUUAGGUGAAUUUAUUUAAUAGUUAAUAGAGUGAAUGUCAUCUUUUUUUUUUUCAGGUAGGAAGUAAUGCAGUACAGUGACUUAAAUAAUACUGUAGUCUUUGGACAAAUCUGAGAGCUUCUGUACUGUGAAAUAACAGGACCUUUUUAUUUAUCAUUUAAACACAGACAAAUCAGACCUUAGAGAGGACUUCUAUACUGUGGUUAAUCAGACAAUUUGACCUCUGGCACUAAAGCAAUAGGAGGCACAGUAGUGUGAAAUUUUACACCAGAUUUUUCUUAAUGUGCUUAUUACAAAAGAUUGUAUUUGCCAAACAAAAAACGAGCUGUCUCCUAUAGUAGAGUUUCCCGCUCCCUGCACUACUGCUUGCAUACCUGUUUAUUGCAUUGGUGAUUAAGCUUCUGCCAUUCAGGAACCAGUGGUUUAGCUGCAGGCAGGUGUUUGAGGUGAUAAAUGGAAGAAAUGACUGUUGUGUGUUGAGGCCAUGUUUUGAAGUACUUUUGAUUUGGUUUGUCACAAGCAGGUAGGUCCACCUCAACCAAAAAGCCCACCUGGAAGAUGUGGGAAGCUCAAUUGUGAGCAGUAUCUGUAAGGAAACUGGGGCUGACAUGGCCCAUAUAAAAAAAAAAAA